UAGGGAAUCUUCCACAAUGGACGCAAGUCUGAUGGAGCAACGCCGCGUGAGUGAAGAAGGUUUUCGGAUCGUAAAGCUCUGUUGUUGGUGAAGCAGGAUAGAGGUAGUAACUGGCCUUUAUUUGACGGUAAUCAACCAGAAAGUCACUGCUAACUACGUGCCAGCCGCCGCGGUAAUACGUAGGUGGCAAGCGUUGUCCGGAAUUAUUGGGCGUAAAGCGAGCGCAGGCGGAAGAAUAAGUCUGAUGUGAAAGCCCUCGGCUUAACCGAGGAACUGCAUCGGAAACUGUUUUGCUUGAGUGCAGAAGAGGAGAGUGGAAUUCCAUCUGUAGCGGUGGAAUGCGUAGAUAUAUGGCAGAACACCAGUGGCGAAGACGACUCUCUCGUCUGCAACUGUCGCUGAGGAUCGAAAGAAUGGGUAGCGAACAGG
rnacentral:rRNA from 1 species